rnacentral:misc_RNA from 1 species
CCUACGGGAGGCAGCAGUGGGGAAUUGUUCGCAAUGGGCGCAAGCCUGACGACGCAACGCCGCGUGGAGGACGAAGACCUUCGGGUCGUAAACUCCUUUCGAUCGAGACGAAUGGCCUUCGGGUGAACAAUCCGGAGGAAUGACGGUACCGAGAGAAGAAGCCCCGGCUAACUCCGUGCCAGCAGCCGCGGUAAUACGGGGGGGGCAAGCGUUGUUCGGAAUUACUGGGCGUAAAGGGCUCGUAGGUGGCCAACUAAGUCAGACGUGAAAUCCCUCAGCUUAACUGGGGAACUGCGUCUGAUACUGGAUGGCUUGAGUUUGGGAGAGGGAUGCGGAAUUCCAGGUGUAGCGGUGAAAUGCGUAGAUAUCUGGAGGAACACCGGUGGCGAAGGCGGCAUCCUGGACCAACACUGACACUGAUGAGCGAAAGCCAGGGGAGCAAACGGGAUUAGAUACCCUUGUAGUC